UCCCCUUGUGUCGAAUCAAUAAAUUGGGUUAACUUACCAGUGAAGACUCUUGCGAUCCCUUACACUUAUGGGUCAUCAAGACUAUUUUCUGGCGCCGUUGUCGGGGAGCAUAGCUUUAUUUACAAGUCUAUUUGGAGUUAUUUUACCGUCCACUACACGAAAAGGUACUGUUCUUGGCACUAGCACUACACUUGAUUCACCUUCCAUUAUGAGUAAGUUUGCUUCACCACCACCACAUGCUGCUUCUAUCGAGUCCGUCACUAUGCCUGAUACUUUUGAUGAUGCUUCUACUACUAUUGAUGAGAUUGGUUUACUUGGUUAUUUUAUCGAGUCUUAGAUUGCUAAGGCUGCGAAGCAGUCUGGGGUUGAAAUUCCUGUUACACGCUACCCCAUUGGUAUAUCCUUUGGUUACCCAGACUUGAGUGGUCUCAGGAAAAGAAUUCUUGAUGAUGAUUAUAUUGAACUUGAUAAUGAUUUAUGCAGGGAACUUGCAGAGUGUGCUGACUCUGACCCUGCUAUUGUUAAGAAGCUGCUUGAAAAGCAUUCUAUGAAGAAUAAAUUUACUCCUGAUCCUAAAUUUGCUUUAUCUCCUAUUUGCAUUGAGGAUGUUGAUUUUGAUUUCUCUAUUGAUCUUUCACUUAUAUCCAUAGUUGAAGCUGACCCCUUUAUGACAGACAAAAUGACGAUGCUAUUGCAUACCUUACCAAACUCACCGAGUUGG
rnacentral:lncRNA from 1 species